rnacentral:rRNA from 1 species
UACGAAAGGGGCUAGCGUUGUUCGGAUUUACUGGGCGUAAAGCGCACGUAGGCGGUCUUGUAAGAUGGGGGUGAAAUCCCCGGGCUCAACCCGGGAACUGCCUUCAUGACUGCAAAGCUAGAGGAUGCGAGAGGUUGGCGGAAUUCCGAGUGUAGAGGUGAAAUUCGUAGAUAUUCGGAAGAACACCAGUGGCGAAGGCGGCCAACUGGCGCAUUUCUGACGCUGAGGUGCGAAAGCGUGGGGAGCAAACAGG